rnacentral:lncRNA from 1 species
UCAUUUCAAGAUAGAUUUAAGUAUGCGUGGGAGAAGGUUAUCAGUAACUAAAGAUUGAUCUAACUCCUACCUGAAAAACAAGAAACAGAACCUUGGUCUAUUAAAUUAAUGAGGCAAUCUAUGCAAAAGUAAACAAUAGCAAUUCUGGUUCUUGACUUAUAUUUAUGAGAGAGAGAGAGAGAGAGAGAGAGAGAGAGAAAUUGAAUCAUUGAGAGAGAGCCAGAGGGAUUGAACUUCAUCUUCAUAGAGAGAGACGGAUUGAAUCAUCUAGAGAGAGAGAGAGAGACGGAUUGAAUCAUCUAGAGAGAGAGAGAGACAGAUUGAAUCAUCUAGAGAGAGAGAGGGAUUGAACUUCAUCUUCAUAGAGAGAGAGAGAGAGAGAGAGAGAGAU